rnacentral:rRNA from 1 species
CCUACGGGCGGCUGCAGUGGGGAAUAUUGGACAAUGGGCGAAAGCCUGAUCCAGCCAUGCCGCGUGUGUGAAGAAGGCCUUCGGGUUGUAAAGCACUUUCAGUGGGGAAGAAAGCCUUGGGGCUAAUACCCUCGAGGAAGGACAUCACCCACAGAAGAAGCACCGGCUAACUCCGUGCCAGCAGCCGCGGUAAUACGGAGGGUGCGAGCGUUAAUCGGAAUUACUGGGCGUAAAGCGCGCGUAGGCGGUCUGAUAAGCCGGUUGUGAAAGCCCCGGGCUCAACCUGGGAACGGCAUCCGGAACUGACAGGCUAGAGUGCAGGAGAGGAAGGUAGAAUUCCCGGUGUAGCGGUGAAAUGCGUAGAGAUCGGGAGGAAUACCAGUGGCGAAGGCGGCCUUCUGGACUGACACUGACGCUGAGGUGCGAAAGCGUGGGUAGCAAACAGGAUUAGAUACCCCAGUAGUC